rfam:Trichoderma gamsii strain T6085 Scaffolds0027.1, whole genome shotgun sequence.
GGGCGCGUGGUCUAGGGGUAUGAUUUUCGCUUCGCAUGUGAAAGGUCAGGGGUUCAAUUCCCCUCGUGUCCA